rnacentral:rRNA from 1 species
UGAGGAAUAUUGGUCAAUGGUCGGGAGACUGAACCAGCCAAGCCGCGUGAGGGAUGAAGGUACAGAGUAUCGUAAACCUCUUUUGUCAGGGAACAAAAGGCGCCACGCGUGGCGCUCCGAGUGUACCUGAAGAAAAGCAUCGGCUAACUCCGUGCCAGCAGCCGCGGUAAUACGGAGGAUGCGAGCGUUAUCCGGAUUUAUUGGGUUUAAAGGGUGCGUAGGCGGCGAGUUAAGUCAGCGGUAAAAGCCCGGGGCUCAACCCCGGCCCGCCGUUGAAACUGGCUUGCUUGAGUUGGAGAGAAGUAGGCGGAAUGCGCGGUGUAGCGGUGAAAUGCUUAGAUAUCGCGCAGAACUCCGAUGCGAGCAGCCUACCGGCUCCAGACUGACGCUGAGGCACGAAAGCGUGGGUAUCGAACAGGAUUAGAUACC